GUGGGGAAUAUUGGGCAAUGGGCGCAAGCCUGACCCAGCAACGCCGCGUGAAGGAAGAAGGCUUUCGGGUUGUAAACUUCUUUUCUCAGGGACGAAGAAAGUGACGGUACCUGAGGAAUAAGCCACGGCUAACUACGUGCCAGCAGCCGCGGUAAUACGUAGGUGGCAAGCGUUAUCCGGAUUUACUGGGUGUAAAGGGCGUGUAGGCGGGAAAGCAAGUCAGAUGUGAAAACCACGGGCUCAACCUGUGGCCUGCAUUUGAAACUGUUUUUCUUGAGUACUGGAGAGGCAGACGGAAUUCCUAGUGUAGCGGUGAAAUGCGUAGAUAUUAGGAGGAACACCAGUGGCGAAGGCGGUCUGCUGGACAGCAACUGACGCUGAGGCGCGAAAGCGUGGGGAGCAAACAGGAUUAGAAACCCCUGUAGUCC
rnacentral:rRNA from 1 species